rnacentral:rRNA from 1 species
UACGUAGGGUCCGAGCGUUGUCCGGAAUUACUGGGCGUAAAGAGCUCGUAGGUGGUUUGUCGCGUUGUUCGUGAAAACUCACAGCUUAACUGUGGGCGUGCGGGCGAUACGGGCAGACUGGAGUACUGCAGGGGAGACUGGAAUUCCUGGUGUAGCGGUGGAAUGCGCCAGAUAUCAGGAGGAACACCGGUGGCGAAGGCGGGUCUCUGGGCAGUAACUGACGCUGGAGGAGC